CUUUUUGUUUUUGUCAAAUCGCGAGCUAUUGUGCUGCCACAUGUAGCCGCAUGAGCACGCGAGAGAGCCGCGCAUGCGCGUGUGUAGGUCUAUAGAAGUAUCAAGCGGAGCUCGAGUUAAAAGCGUGCAGUGUUUUCUUGUGCUCCUCGUGCUGGUGGGACCUUGUUUCAUGACCCACAUAAAGCAAGGCCGUUAACACUACUCACAAGUUGCGCGCGUAUGGGUGCGGGCCCCAACGAGCUACUCGCCGUUCUAUGGGACCCCACGUGUCCCCUCCACGGUUGUCGAUCGGGGGGGGCCCCUGCGACGUGCCCCUCUGAUAUACGCUACCUGCAUAUACCGGCAUUAUGUACCUGUAUGCGCCUUCAUAUUACCAUACAUCACGUGUACGUGUAAGAUAAACCGGAGAAGAUGGACUUGUUGGUGUGCGUAAGACAAGUGGACCUGUAUGUCGAAACGCGUGUGCGUGCACGAGAGAGCUCGAGAGUCUGUAUACAGGCCUGAAUGUUCUGUUCCCCUAACUGCACACGUAAAUAAUUAACCGUUGAUAGAGAAGUGGAGAAAUAUUAUUAUGACCUGAAAUAUUAUUAUGUUUACUGAUGCAAUCAUGUUAUACGGAUUAAUAGAGAGUAAAGGGGGAUGGAAAGCGAAGGAAAAAAAAAAAAUUAAUUGUUUUCAAAUAUUUCCAUGUUAUCUGUUCGAUCAGCUUAUAUAGAUAUAUAUAUAUAUAUGCUCACAUAACCUCUCUACUAGGAUUCACAUUCAAUAAUGGUGAAUACAUUUGUUGAAAUAAUGUGUGCGAGCGAUAUUUGACUUUUUUGAUCGAAGAAGAUUUUCCAAAGCGAAGAGAAAAUCAGUGUCACUGAUUUUAUAAAAUUAUCGAAAAUCGAGGCAAUAAAGGAUACGUAUACCGAAAGUUAAGCGGGAGAAAAAAGUUAGGUCCUGGGUCCUGUUCGUGUAGUGUAGUUACAUAGCAUUUAUAGCGUGCGCACUGAAUGCACAUCCGUAUACGAGUGUGUGCGUGACUGGACAAGUUAGUAGGUCACACGGAUUCAAAAAUACAUCGGUGGGUGUGAGUCGUACACACUAAUAUCCAACAUUAUCGUAUACCCAUGGAGAACUGUGACUUCAAACUGCGGCUUCACGAGGUACCUUGAUCUUGACUAGAUGCAAGGUCCAUUUCGCUGUCGUCGUACGUUCAAUAAGGCAUUGCUCCUAUUUGCUUUCGCAUUGUUUGCAUUACUACCGCGUAUUAAACGGAUUUCAUGCGUUCAACUAGACUUUAAAUAGGGAAAGUUUUAAAACUUAUAAUAUAUAUCUGCAAAUUUUCCAUUCCGGUAUAAUGUAUUAAACAAAAUUGUAUCAACAAAAUUGUUAUUAGAAAAGAUCUGGAAAUUUUAAUA